rnacentral:rRNA from 1 species
GAUGAACGCUAGCGGCAGACUUAACACAUGCAAGUCGAGGGGUAUUGGUUUUCGGACCAAGAGACCGGCGCACGGGUGCGUAACGCGUAUGCAAUCUACCUUUUGCAGAGGGAUAGCCCAGAGAAAUUUGGAUUAAUACCUCAUAGUAUAGUACUUUGGCAUCAAGGAACUAUUAAAGUCACAACGGCAAAAGAUGAGCAUGCGUCCCAUUAGCUAGUUGGUAAGGUAACGGCUUACCAAGGCUACGAUGGGUAGGGGUCCUGAGAGGGAGAUCCCCCACACUGGUACUGAGACACGGACCAGACUCCUACGGGAGGCAGCAGUGAGGAAUAUUGGACAAUGGGCGCAAGCCUGAUCCAGCCAUGCCGCGUGCAGGAUGACGGUCCUAUGGAUUGUAAACUGCUUUUANACAGGAAGAAACACUCCGACGUGUCGGAGCUUGACGGUACUGUAAGAAUAAGGAUCGGCCUAACUCCGUGCCA